UCGAAAUUUUCUUAAAAUAUCAAUAUAAAAAUGUUUGUUGGGUCAAAAAGCUUUAAAAUUGAAUACAAGAUUCCUCAUAAUAGUCAUUAAGACUGGAAUUAAAAAAUAAAAAAAGCUGACCAUAAUUGCAAAAUUUUAGCGUACAUUUUUUUGGGAUGUCUGAAUUUGACGAAAUUGGAAAUAUAACGAUUCUUGUCUGACGAUUUUUUCGUAGGCCGCGUUGGUAUAAUAUCUGCUCGGAAUUGUUUUUCGUUUACGCAAAGAUUUAUCAGUUUAUUCAAAUUUAACACGUCGUAUACAUUACACGGUGACUUAGUCAACGACGAGGUACUUGACGCACCCAUACAGAACGCUGUGAAAUAGAGCUGUUACGUAUCUUUUUUUUUUAAACAUUACGUCGUUGAUAAUAAUUGUGUGCGAUUAAAACGCGUUUUUGUCCGGCGGUGCUUGUCUCCGUUUGUUGUGCCGGCGCGUUGAGUGCGAAUAACAACGCAGCUCGCAGUCGUCGUAGUGUGGUUUUGGGAUUCAAUUUCGAACAAUUACAACGCGUUUUGAAGAAAACGAUCUCCAUUUCACCUGUUGCGAGUAUACAGUGAUACUUAAUACACACGAGACGGCGGCGGCGGUGCCCAUUACAUUCGGUCCUCUCUCUCUCUCUCUCUCUCAAUCUAUCUCACUCUUUGGAGCGUCCGUCUAAAUGUCAAAACGGCCGUGUAAUCCCCGUGAAAUUUGGCCGAAAAAAAACAAAACAGAAGAGAAGAACGAGAGAGAGAGAGGCGUAGACAGAGAGAGACAGAGACAGAGAGAAAAAAAGAGGCAGGGAUAAUUGAAGGGGUGAAAAAAGGUACAUCGCCAAGCGGUCGGGUCGAGGGGAGGGUACACAAGCGCGGAAUAGGGGUGUGCGUUGCGGAAAUGGCGCCGGCGCUGGCGAUUUGGCGGCAUUCGCGAAACGUCAGCACCGACCACGCUGCAGUAUAGUCACCGUCGGUCGUGUCAGCGGAUGCCCCCUAAAGCGGCAAUACCGUUUGUCGAACGAUUUAUCGUAUUAUAUCGGAAAAUCGGAAAUAACAUCGUGGUAGACUUGACGCGGAAUAAAAAAAUUUUUAAACAUUUAUUGUUAUAAAUUAUUAUUUUUUUUUUUCCAAUACGUACGUAUUAGAAUAUUAUUACAUAAUGAUCACGAUUUUACGUUAUUAUUAAUAUUAUACUAUUGUAUACUUUUUGUGUCAAUCGAACGAGACAAUAUAUUAAUAUUAUAAUACAGAUAAACGCAAUAAAAUUAUUUAUGAUACGCGAUCGUCGUCGGCUGUGGGUUUGGGGAAAAUAAUUUCGCAUCGAACGUCCUCUGUACUUUGCGAAAUCUGUUUUAGCUUGCGGUGGUAGUGGCUGAGGUAAACACGAUGACAGUGUUAAAAGCGUGUCGAGUGAAAGGUGUCCCCUUGUGAAAAAUCUAGAGGACAAUCCAUUUUGCUCAGAGCGCGUGCGUUGAAAUCCUCGUCGAUUGUGAUGUACACAAGUCCGGGUCACGUCUCGUUGUUCGACUGAGAUCAAAAAAAAAAAAAAUUAGAAAUUAAAUC
rnacentral:lncRNA from 1 species